CCUUUGUACACACCGCCCGUCGCUACUACCGAUUGAAUGGCUUAGUGAGGCCUUCGGAUUGGCGCUUGGGAGCUGGCAACGGCACCCGAAUGCUGAGAAGUUGGACGAACUUGGUCAUUUAGAGG
rnacentral:rRNA from 1 species